CGUGUACUUCGUUUAAGUAACUACACUCCGCUGCGUUACGAUGUCGCUAAUGCAUUUAUUCUGUUUUCUAACCAUUCACGAAGCUCAGUUUCUCUUGCCACAUUGGAACCCAUAGAUCAUCUAUGCGACAAAUGUAGAUGUUAGGCUUAGUUCCAGUAUAAAAUGGACUGCCAGGUUCCAGUUGGUCCACCUCGUUUACUGGAUUUCUCAUGUCAUGUUCUCUCCAAGGCCCCAGCGACAGACCCAGGAAAUACCACCACUUCGUGUUUGCUUCAGCUUAAAGUACAGGAGAAUGAAACCAAAGUCAGUGAACAACCAUCAGUGUCUACUGUUACAGUUGAGCUGACACGCCCAACACUCGAUACAUUACUGGAUGGAAUGGGAAGGAUUCGGGACCAAUUAUCAAGUGUUGCGGGAAGAAAGUGAACUAACGUGAUAAUAAAACUAUUGCUGUAUUUGUUAGCAGAAUAAUAAAUAACGCCUUAAAUGUUAAAAUUUACAA